rnacentral:rRNA from 1 species
GAUGAACGCUGGCGGCGUGCCUAAUACAUGCCAGUCGAGCGAACAGACGAGGAGCUUGCUCCUCUGACGUUAGCGGCGGACGGGUGAGUAACACGUGGAUAACCUACCUAUAAGACUGGGAUAACUUCGGGAAACCGGAGCUAAUACCGGAUAAUAUAUUGAACCGCAUGGUUCAAUAGUGAAAGACGGUUUUGCUGUCACUUAUAGAUGGAUCCGCGCCGCAUUAGCUAGUUGGUAAGGUAACGGCUUACCAAGGCAACGAUGCGUAGCCGACCUGAGAGGGGGAUCGGCCACACUGGAACUGAGACACGGUCCAGACUCCUACGGGAGGCAGCAGUAGGGAAUCGUCCGCAAUGGGCGAAAGCCUGACGGAGCAACGCCGCGUGAGUGAUGAAGGUCUGCGGAUCGUAAAACUCUGUUAUUAGGGAAGAACAAAUGUGUAAGUAACUAUGCACGUCUUGACGGUACCUAAUCAGAAAGCCACGGCUAACUACGUG